rnacentral:rRNA from 1 species
AUGGAACUCGAAGUAGGGCCGUCGGAGUCCGGCGGCCUGGCGGCGCUGGCUGCCGGCCUCGCGAGGCGCCUGGCCGAGGAGAACUCGGAGAGCAACCUGGUGUUCUCGCCGCUGUCCAUCUACGCCGCGGUCGCGCUCCUGGCCGCGGGCGCCCGGGGCGCCACCCUGGACGAGAUCCUCGGCGUCCUCGGCGCGCCGUCUCGCGCCGCGCUCGAGGUGUUCGUCUCCCUCGUGGCGGAGCAAGCGCUCAGAGACCAGUCUGGCUCCGGCGGGCCGCGCAUCGCGUUCGCGUGCGGCGUGUGGAGCGACCUCACUUGCGCCCUGAAGCCAGCCUACCGCCACGCCGUCCUGAGCACGUACAAGGCCGAGGCCAGCACCGUCGACUUCCAGAACGACCCGGAGGGAGCACGCGGCCAGAUCAACGAGUGGGCCGCGCGGGCGACGCAGAACCUGAUCGGCGGCGUCCUCGGCCCGGAAUCAGUGACGCCGCUCACCCGCGUCGUGCUCGGCAACGCCAUAUACUUCAAGGGGAAGUGGCAAGAGCCCUUCUGCAAGAGGGAUACCGAGAGCAAGCUUUUCCACCGGCUCUACGGCCGCGCCGUCGACGUGCCCUUCAUGCAGAGUUGGGAGCCCCAGUUCAUCGCU